AUUGAACGCUGGCGGCAUGCUUUACACAUGCAAGUCGAACGGCAGCACGGGUGCUUGCACCUGGUGGCGAGUGGCGAACGGGUGAGUAAUAUAUCGGAACGUGCCCUAGAGUGGGGGACAACCAGUCGAAAGAUUGGCUAAUACCGCAUACGAUCUAAGGAUGAAAGUGGGGGACCUUCGGGCCUCAUGCUCCUGGAGCGGCCGAUAUCUGAUUAGCUAGUUGGUGGGGUAAAGGCCUACCAAGGCGACGAUCAGUAGCUGGUCUGAGAGGACGAUCAGCCACACUGGGACUGAGACACGGCCCAGACUCCUACGGGAGGCAGCAGUGGGGAAUUGUGGACAAUGGGGGCAACCCUGAUCCAGCAAUGCCGCGUGAGUGAAGAAGGCCUUCGGGUUGUAAAGCUCUUUUGUCAGGGAAGAAAUUGCCUGGGUUAAUACCCUGGGUAGAUGACGGUACCUGAAGAAUAAGCACCGGCUAACUACGUGCCAGCCGCCGCGGUAA
rnacentral:rRNA from 1 species